rnacentral:lncRNA from 1 species
GGCACCGCAGCAGGGGUGCGGAGAGGGACUGGGGGCGGGUGAGUACUGCUCCCGCAGCUCUGCUGGCCCUCUCUCUGCCCCGAGCUGUGCCUGGACAAUCCUCCUCGUCCUCCCGGCCCCCGCUCGCCAAUGCUGUGGCCUGCACCUGCAUCGCUCUCUGGGAACCUCGGAGACCUCAACUCCUUCGUACUGGUCUUACCCCUUCGUACUGGUCGGGGUUUACUGCAGGUCCACCUCCCCUAGGCCAUGGCCAGGUGGGGGAAGGUCACUCCAGGACGCUAGUGACUCUGCCCAGCUCUGCUCCGCCUCUCUGCUUAUGCACCUGCCGCCCCCUCGCACUCUCUGCCACUGCGGUUGCAGUUCCGGCCCGUCCCUCUUCUGCAGGCCAGCCCAGCGGGCAGCCUCGGUUCCUGACUCCUGGUCUGUGCUUGUGGGCGGCCUGAACCACCUCAAUCCGGACAAUUGCCAAACCCACCCUGGGCUGUAGCUGGGAACCGGUUGUGGCUCCUGCCAGUCUAGACCCCGGGGAACAAUUUAUGCACGUGACCCAGCCACCUAAGACUCUCCUGGCCCAGGUCUGUGGCUGGUAUUCCCAUUGGCUUACUGUUCUGUCUCACUGGGGGCACCCCUACCCUAUACUGUAGAAUUCUUGGAAUGACAGAGCACUUGGGAAGACCCAGCUCACAUGUCAAGAUGUCGCAGAGCACUGUGUUGGACAUGACCAUUCUUUCCAUCCUUGUUGGCUGAAAAUCCGCCCUUAUUUUCAUCCACCGAGCCCCUGAACAGCUUUCCACACAGCUCUUAUGGUGAUGACACAGCAGAAAACAUGGCGAGGCUUCUGCAGUGGCUGCAGAAAAGCCUGUCCCUGGAGCGACCUGGCCGGUCGCGCAAAGAGCUAGCUUCUUAUCAAAGACCUUCCCAACACAGAGAUGGGUUCCCAAGACACCCUGCCAUUUUCAAGGUCAAUCUUGCAGGCCCAAGGACAAAACCGAAGGGAUGCAAAAAUGAGCUUUUUCUCAUUAAUCCCACUUGCAAGACUGAAGAAAACCUUAAAAUACCCAAAAUUCAGGGGAGACAUAGCAACUGAGUCUCAUGGAGUCCACAGGGGCUGCCGACCCACUGUGUCAAGGACAACUGUGAGAGCAGCUUGUUGAGAAAGAAGUCACUCUGCUUUGCCCCUGCAGCGUUUAUUUUGGAAAAAACCCAAGUUUGUGGUUGGUCUGGAAUGGAGUCUAUGACCUAUGUGAGGAGAGUAUGAAAAUAACAAAUAGAGACCCUGUAGCCUAAGGAUCAAGAUUCUAGUUAUCCUCAUAGUCCAGAGGGUCGGACAAGAGGACCAGAAGUUCAAAGUCAUCUUCUGCUGCAUAAAUCUGAGGCUAAGCUAGCUCCAUGAGACCUUGCCUCAGAACCCCAAAGAGACCUUUUCAACCUAGCUUCUUUGGGCCUAUAUGGUGGAGGUGGCCGCAACCAAGAGAAAACGAUAUAUAGAGAAUGGUGUUGGCUUUGUUCUGGCAAAACAGAGCUUCUCACUGCAGAUUCAGACAAAGGCCAGAAGAUAAUGGUGGUGCUCCUGAAUAGAGGUCCCCUGGUUCAAACGUCCAUCUACUGGAACAAGGUCAAUGAUCCUCCAGGGACUCUCAACUCCCUAUCUACGCACUCUCUACAGCAAAACAUCCUGUGCUUGGGAAAGUCUGAGCUGAACCCAGCUCCUGUGGCUUCUGCUCAAUCUUAGUUCCUUGUUUGCAAGAAUGAGAGGCAAACAGCAAGCCUUGUGCAUCUUUGUAUAGAUAGAAAACAACCCUCCCAACCCCCCAUUUUACAGUAUUUGGGUUUGGCUUUUUUUCUCUUUCUUUUCUCUUCUCUUUCUUCUCUUCUCUUCUCUUCUCUUCUCUUCUCUUCUCUUCUCUUCUCUUCUCUUCUCUUCUCUUCUCCUCUCCUCUCCUCUCCUCUCCUCUCCUCUCCUCUCUUCCUCUUCCUCUUCCUCUUCCUCUUCCUCUUCCUCUUCCUCUUCCUCUUCCUCUUCCUCUUCCUCUUCCUCUUCCUCUCCUCUCCCUCUCCUCUCCCUCUCCUCUCUGUGGGAAGCCAACUCCAAGAUGGCGCCGGUUUCCGGUUGCCGUUGUCAUAAACAACACCACUGCGCAGGCGUCAAUUCGAAUUUGGGGCCAACCCCUCCCAAGCGGGUGCAUGCAAAUUGGGUGCUGGCAGACUGACCAACCCCAGGGGGCCACGGAGCCUUCUCCUGUGCUGGGGUACAUAUAAGCAGGGCUCCCUGGGCGCCUGGGGUCCCCGUAGAAGCAUCAAGGCGAUCCUGCAAUAAAGGCUGUUGAGAAGAA